rnacentral:rRNA from 1 species
UACGGAGGGCGCAAGCGUUGUUCGGAAUUACUGGGCGUAAAGCGCGUGUAGGCGGUUCGGUAAGUCGGGUGUGAAAGCCCGGAGCUCAACUCCGGAAUUGCAUUCGAAACUGCCGGGCUAGAGUCUCGGAGGGGAGGGCAGAAUUCCCAGUGUAGGGGUGAAAUCCGUAGAUAUUGGGAGGAAUACCAGCGGCGAAGGCGGCCCUCUGGACGAUGACUGACGCUCAGACGCGAAAGCGUGGGGAGCAAACAGG